GUGCCAGCAGCCGCGGUAAUUCCAGCUCCAAUAGCGUAUAUUAAAGUUGUUGUGGUUAAAAAGCUCGUAGUUGAACCUUGGGCCUGGCUGGCCGGUCCGCCUCACCGCGUGCACUGGUCCGGCCGGGCCCUUCCCUCUGUGGAACCCCAUACCCUUCACUGGGCGUGGCGGGGAAACAGGACAUUUACUUUGAAAAAAUUAGAGUGCUCCAGGCAGGCCUAUGCUCGAAUACAUUAGCAUGGAAUAAUAAAAUAGGACGCGCGGUUCUAUUUUGUUGGUUUAUAGGACCGCCGUAAUGAUUAAUAGGGACAGUCGGGGGCAUCAGUAUUCAACUGUCAGAGGUGAAAUUCUUGGAUCAGUUGAAGACUAACUACUGCGAAAGCAUUUGCCAAGGAUGUUUUCAUUAAUCAGGAACGAAAGUUAGGGGAUCGAAGACGAUCAGAUACCGUCGUAGUCUUAACCAUAAACUAUGCCGACUAGGGAUCGGACGGUGUUAUUCAUGACCCGUUCGGCACCUUACGAGAAAUCAAAGUGCUUGGGCUCCAGGGGGAGUAUGGUCGCAAGGCUGAAACUUAAAGAAAUUGACGGAAGGGCACCACCAGGGGUGGAGCCUGCGGCUUAAUUUGACUCAACACGGGGAAACUCACCAGGUCCAGACACAAUAAGGAUUGACAGAUUGAGAGCUCUUUCUUGAUUUUGUGGGUGGUGGUGCAUGGCCGUU
rnacentral:rRNA from 1 species